CUGGCGGCGUGCUUAACACAUGCAAGUCGAACGCGAAAGGGACUUCGGUCCUGAGUAAAGUGGCGGCACGGGUGAGUAACGCGUAGAUAACCUGUCUUCAUGUCUGGAAUAAUACGCCGAAAGGGGUACUAAUACCGGAUAUUCUUGCUUUUCAUAAGUUAUGCAAGCAAAGGUGGCCUCUGCAUAUGCUACUGCAUGAAGAGGGGUCUGCGUACCAUUAGCUAGUAGGUGGGGUAAUGGCCUACCUAGGCGACGAUGGUUAGCGGGUCUGAGAGGAUGAUCCGCCACACUGGCACUGGAACACGGGCCAGACUCCUACGGGAGGCAGCAGUGAGGAAUAUUGCGCAAUGGGGGAAACCCUGACGCAGCGACGCCGCGUGAGUGAGGAAGGCCUUCGGGUCGUAAAGCUCUGUCAAGAGGAAAGAAGUGUACAAUGGCUAAUACCUGUUGUAUUUGACGGUACCUCUAAAGGAAGCACCGGCUAACUCCGUGCCAGCCGCGGC
rnacentral:rRNA from 1 species